rnacentral:snoRNA from 14 species
AGGGUCAAGUGAUGAUUAAUAAUGCAUAGUUCAAAUGAUCUCCAUGAUUACUAUUCAGUAGCACAGUCUUUCGCUCCUAUCUGAUGGCCCU